ACACCAAGCUUAUAUAUAUUACAGAGUCUAAACCCUAACCCCUCACUCCCUCUCUCUCCUCUCUUUUAUCUCCCCCGCCUCCUUGGUCGUCUCCUCUGGUGGCGCCACCGGCGACACCACUGCCUCCGCUACAACCUCCUCCUCCCUCGCCGCCGUCUUUCUCUUCUCCUAUUCUCUUCACUGAUCUUCACCGGUCGUCUACUUCGUCUUCUCCACCCUCGUCGUCGGUUCCAAAACCCUAACCCUACAAAGGACUACCGCCGGACUCGUCAGAAUGGCGAUCUCGAACGGGCUGAUUGCGAUGAGAAAGAUCAGGCAAUCUUCUCUGAUCAGAACUCUGCACCUGAUUCAGCCUUGAGAAAUCAAAAGAUUGGAUCAAUAUCUCAAAUCCAGCCCCAAACUGACAUUGAAGGCCUCAACAUUGCCGAUGAUGUUUCUCAGAACUUUGUCCUCUUUGGAGUUGCCUAGGGCUGUUGCUGUUGCAACUGCGCCAUCUUCACCUAUCUCAAAUGGUGGGCCCCCCUCAUAUGAAAAUCAAGUGAGGACUGAAGUAGGUACUUUUGAUGGAACUGCCAGGCUUAAGUUCAGGAUCCUGCUCAAUAUAUUUCAAUUCAACUAUUGGAGAAAUUAUCUCUUGUGACAACAUUUGCUCGGGAAACAACUUCACAACUUUUCCGAGAUAGUAAUAGUGAUGUUUUUGGUGCUAAUGAGAGGAGGAACCAUGACCAGACUCCCCAUCCUUACCCUAGUAUUGUUGCAUCCAAUGAUGUGGAAGAGGUUCCCAAUGAAAUUCCUAUAGCCUCAGAUCCCUUGGAGAAAGAAUCUUGGAGGACAGUAUUGAUUUUGGCUUAUCAGAGCCUUGGAGUUGUCUAUGAAUUUUGUCUAAUAUAAUCUGAUGAGGGUGUGCACAUUUUUUUACUAAAUGGGUAUAUUUGGAAUGUGGGGUGUAUGGAUUAAGAUAAAUACCUAAAAAUUAAAUUGCUAAGUGUGUGGAGUGAGAAAUGAUGUACACAGAGAUAAUGUGGUGUGCGAAAAUAAAAUUUCCCUAAUAAUUGUCUUUUAAAACACAACUUCUUGUUGGUAUUGUGACUUAAAUCCCCUCA